rnacentral:rRNA from 1 species
AAUCGAACUAGGAGAUAGCUCGUUCUCUCCGAAAUGCAUUUAGGUGCAGCCUUGGACUGAGAUAUGUGGGGGUAGAGCUCUGUAUGAUCUAGGGGGCGUACUGCUUACCGAAAUCAAGCAAACUGCGAAUACCAUAUAUUAUGUUCAGGAGUGAGUCCGUGGAUGACAAGGUCCUCGGACGAGAGGGGAACAGCCCAGACCGCCAGCUAAGGUCCCUAAUUAUGUCUAAGUGGGAAAGGAGGUGGACAUUCAUAGACAACCAGGAGGUUGGCUUAGAAGCAGCCAUGCCUUGAAAGAGUGCGUAAUAGCUCACUGGUCGAGAGUGCCUGCGCCGAAGAUGUAACGGGGCUAAGACAUAAACCGAAGCUGCGGAAGAUACACCGUAUCUUGGUAGGAGAGCGUUCUGUAGGCCGUCGAAGGGAUGCCGCAAGGCCGUCCUGGAGGUAUCAGAAGCGAGAAUGCAGGAAUGAGUAGCGAGAAGGCGGGCGAGAAUCCCGCCGGCCGGAAGUCCAAGGUUUCCAGGGGAAGGCUUGUCCGCCCUGGGGAAGUCGGGACCUAAGCAUAAGCAAAAUUGUGAUGGCGAAUGGAAAACAGGUUAAUAUUCCUGUACCGCUGUUAUCGCUUGAGAGACGGAGUGACGCAGGAAGGUAUGCGAGAAGGCUGACGGUUUAGCCUUUCUAAGGGCCCAGCGUGGGCGUGCAGGUAAAUCCGCACGCCUAAACGUGAGACCUGACGGGGAAGUGCAUUUGCAUAAGUCGCAGAUCCUACACUGCCAAGAAAAACUUCUAUCGAUGAGAAGCAGCGCCCGUACUGUAAACCGACACAGGUGGACAGAGUGAGAAACUUAAGGCCGACAGGAUAACUCUAGCUAAGGAACUCUGCAAAAUAGCCCCGUAACUUCGGGAGAAGGGGUGCCUGAUAUACCUGAAGGAGAGAAGCGCUCCCAGGGGAAACAGGCCGCAGUGAAGAGUCUCAAGCAACUGUUUACCAAAAACACAGGUCUAUGCUAAGCUGAAAGGCGACGUAUAUGGGCUGACACCUGCCCAGUGCCGGAAGGUUAAGAGGAGGAGUGAGAGCUCCGAUUUGAAGCCCCGGUGAACGGCGGCCGUAACUAUAACGGUCCUAAGGUAGCGAAAUUCCUUGUCGGGUAAGUUCCGACCUGCACGAAUGGUGAAAUGAUUUGGGAGCUGUCUUGGCUGGAGACCUGGUGAAGUUGUAAUGUCGGUGAAGAUACCGACUACCUGCAGUAGGACGGAAAGACCCCGUGGAGCUUUACUGUAGCUUGGCAUUGGGUUCUGGCAAUGUGUGUAUAGGAUAGUUGGGAGACUGUGAUGUGAUGGCGUCAGCCAUUGCUGAGUCGCUGUUGGAAUACCAACCAUAUGCUGUCGGAAUUCUAAUCUGGCAACGGAGACAGUGCUAGGUGGGCAGUUUGACUGGGGCGGUCGCCUCCCAAAGAGUAACGGAGGCGUUCAAAGGUUCCCUCAGGCUGGAUGGAAAUCAGCCUAAGAGUGCAAACGCAUAAGGGAGCUUGACUGCAAGACUGACGGGUCGAGCAGGUACGAAAGUAGGAGUUAGUGAUCCGGCGGUUCCGCAUGGAAGGACCGUCGCUCAACGGAUAAAAGCUACCCCGGGGAUAACAGGCUGAUACUUCCCAAGAGUCCAUAUCGACGGAAGUGUUUGGCACCUCGAUGUCGGCUCGUCUCAUCCUGGGGCUGGAGAAGGUCCCAAGGGUUGGGCUGUUCGCCCAUUAAAGAGGCACGCGAGCUGGGUUCAGAACGUCGUGAGACAGUUCGGUCCCUAUCCACUGCAGGCGCUUGAAUAUUGAAAAGAUCUGACCUUAGUACGAGAGGACCGGGUUGGACAGACCUCUGAUGUAUCAGUUGUCACGCCAGUGGCAUGGCUGAGUAGUCACGUCUGGCACGGAUAACCGCUGAAAGCAUCUAAGCGGGAAGCCGGCUUUGAGAUGAAUAUUCGUAGUAUCCAUAGAGAACAUAUGGUCGAUAGGCUAGGGGUGAAAGUGCAGCAAUGCAUUCAGCUGACUAGUACUAAUAUUACGUCUGCUUUUA